rnacentral:rRNA from 1 species
GACGAACGCUGGCGGCGUGCUUAACACAUGCAAGUCGAACGGAAAGGCCCUGCUUUUGUGGGGUGCUCGAGUGGCGAACGGGUGAGUAACACGUGAGUAACCUGCCCUUGACUUUGGGAUAACUUCAGGAAACUGGGGCUAAUACCGGAUAGGAGCUCCUGCUGCAUGGUGGGGGUUGGAAAGUUUCGGCGGUUGGGGAUGGACUCGCGGCUUAUCAGCUUGUUGUUGGGGUAGUGGCUUACCAAGGCUUUGACGGGUAGCCGGCCUGAGAGGGUGACCGGCCACAUUGGGACUGAGAUACGGCCCAGACUCCUACGGGAGGCAGCAGUGGGGAAUAUUGCACAAUGGGCGGAAGCCUGAUGCAGCAACGCCGCGUGCGGGAUGACGGCCUUCGGGUUGUAAACCGCUUUCGCCUGUGACGAAGCGUGAGUGACGGUAAUGGGUAAAGAAGCACCGGCUAACUACGUG